rnacentral:rRNA from 1 species
GACGGGUAUCCGGCCUGAGAGGGUGGACGGCCACAUUGGGACUGAGACACGGCCCAGACUCCUACGGGAGGCAGCAGUGGGGAAUAUUGCACAAUGGGCGCAAGCCUGAUGCAGCGACGCCGCGUGGGGGAUGAAGGCCUUCGGGUUGUAAACUCCUUUCAACCAUGACGAAGCAUUAUGUGACGGUAGUGGUANAAGAAGCACCGGCUAACUACGUGCCAGCAGCCGCGGUAAUACAACA